GAUAUCCUGUAGUGCACGCUUUUCAUAUUAAUUUAACCGACAAAAAUAAUAUGGGACCGUGAUUUUUUUGCAAUCGAUAAUAUGCCUUAAGUGGACAUUAGACGUUGUGAAUAACGAACCCACCUCGUAUAUGCGGGGAUAAAUUACUUAUGAAAAACGGCACAUAAUGGGAUUACA
rfam:Anaerosphaera sp. HMSC064C01 Anaerosphaera_spHMPREF2800-1.0_Cont121.1, whole genome shotgun sequence.